rnacentral:misc_RNA from 1 species
UACGAGAGGUGCUAGCGUUAUUCGGAAUUAUUGGGCGUAAAGGGUGUGUAGGCGGCUUGUUAAGUCUGCUGUUUAAUCUUCCAGCCUAACUGGGAGGUCGCGGUGGAUACUGGCUUGCUUGAGUGUGAAAGAGAGGAGUGGAAUUCUCGGAGUAGCGGUAAAAUGCGUAGAUCUCGAGAGGAACACCAAUGGCGAAGGCAGCUCCUUGGUUCACAACUGACGCUGAGACACGAAAGCGUGGGUAGCAAACAGG